rnacentral:rRNA from 1 species
UACGGAGGGUGCGAGCGUUGUUCGGAAUCAUUGGGCGUAAAGCGCGUGUAGGCGGCUUGGCAAGUCGGGUGUGAAAUCCCGGGGCCCAACCCCGGAACUGCAUUCGAAACUGCCUCGCUAGAGUCCCGGAGAGGAAGGCGGAAUUCCCGGUGUAGAGGUGAAAUUCGUAGAUAUCGGGAGGAACACCAGCGGCGAAGGCGGCCUUCUGGACGGUGACUGACGCUGAGAAGCGAAAGCGUGGGGAGCAAACAGG